ACUGCAAAUUAAAGAAGCCCUGAAUCCAUCUGUAACCUGUAAGCCCACCCCUCUUCAAGAUAUUCUGCCUUUUCAGGCCAAACCAAUGUAUGUCUUCCAUGUAUUGAUUUAUGACUUUGCCUGUAACUCCUUUCUCCCUAAAAUGCAUCAAAUCAAUUUUUACUUUAAGUUCUGGGAUACAUGGGCAGAAUGUGCAGGUUUGUUACAUAGGUAUACGUGUGCAAUGGUGGUUUGCUGCACCAUCAUCUAGGUUUUAAGCCCUGCAUGCAUUAGGUAUUUGUCCUAAUAUUCUCCCUCCCUUAUCUCCCACGCCCCCUCCCUCGACAGGCUCCGGUGUGUGAUGUUCCCCUCCCUGUGUCCAUGUGUUCUCAUUGUUCAACUCAUGAUCGCAUGAGUGAGAACAUGCGGUGUUUCGUUUUCUGUUCCUGUGUUACUUUGCUGAAAAUGAUAGCUUCCAGCUUCAUCCAUGUCCCUGCAAAAGACAUGAACUCAUUCUUUUUUAUGGCUGCAACAUCAAACCAAACUUAAUCUGGCCAACCUUGGGCACACCACGGUCACUGAAAUUGUCCCAGAAUAAACUUCUUUAAAAUAUUUCACAGAGUCCAGGUGUGGUGGCUCACACCAAAAAUCCCAGCACUUUGAGAAGCUGAGGCGGGAGGAUCACUUGAGCCCAGAAGUUUGAGACCAGCCUGGGUAACCUAGGGAGACCCCAUCUCUACAAAAAAUUUAAAAAGUAGCUAGGUGUGGUGGCACACGCCUAUAGCCCCAACUACUCAAGAAACUGAGGUGGGAGGAUCAUCUGAGACCAGAAGGUCGAGGCUGCAGUGAGCCAUGAUUGUGCCACUGCACUCCAGAGUGAGAUCUUGACUCCAAAAAUUAAUAAAUAAAUAAAAAUAAAUAAAAUAAAAUACUUUAUAGAGUUUGAUUUUUCUGUUAACAAUGCCCAGGUAAAGGAACAUCCACAAAAACCCUGAACAAUAGGGUUUGGAGAAGUUCCAGGUUGAUGAAGACGUCCACAUGACACCAUCGCAGACAGAAGCUCUCACACUUGGAACCCUUCUGGACCUCACCUUAUGUUCCCCCUCAUCAGGCCACUCACCUGUAACCUUUAUAAUACUCUUUAUAAUGAACUGGUACAUGCCUCUACCAUCAGCCCUGGCCUGCUGUGGG
rnacentral:lncRNA from 1 species